UUGACUAAAAAAUUUCAGAACUGCCGGGUACAAUCCCCUCUAUUUUCCCCUCUUUUCAAAGGGCUAAAUUCCCCCUCCUCAACUCACGAAUUUUCAGAGCUCAACUGAAUACAUCCCCUUUCUUCGUCAUCUUCCCUACAGAGUGAGUUGCCACUAGUCGAACAGAAAAGUUUGCCUUUUGGGGGAAUGAGGUUAUGCAUUUUUAAGAGAGCAAAGGGGGGAAAAGAGAAGAAAAAUACUCCUUGGCCCUCAAGCACCUUGUUUCUUCCUGAGGUAUUUGAUUGUUGAACUACCUUCUCCUCAGUGCAGUCCCUCACCUCAAUCACUCAGGUGAUAAUGCAAUGGAGUGGAGGGCCAGAAGGAGUCCUCUUUGCUCCAUUAAAUGGCUCUCGGGAUAAAAUAAUUCAUUCGCAAGUACUCAACUUUCAGCAAUGUGAAACUGUUGGAAUCAGGCGAUUUCUUAUACAUAGUGCAUGUGGAUGGAGGUAAAUCAACAAUUUUUCAUGUCUCAUUCUUCUCAAGUGCACUCAUAUCCUCCAUCAUGGACCUCUUCCAGUGUGGGGCACACACGGCUUCCCUUCUAGCGUUUGGUGUGGAUAUCGAAUCACAAGUGGAUAUUAAAGCCUUGAAGGAAGAUGACAAUUUUGGAUGAAAUAUAUAGUAGUUCAAAGGGAGUUAGGAAGUACAUACAUGAACAACAAUUAAGCAAGUCAAAGCAUCUUUCUAUCAUAAAGAACAAGUGAAAGAAGUUCAAGUAACUAUCUAAAGAAAACUUGGAAGGUCACCUAUUGAAAGGAGAAUCAUAUGGAAUAUGCAGAUCUUUUUCAGCAUAGCAGUGUUUUAAAAGGAUGCAGAUUUAAUUGGAAUCAAGAAAGCUUGUCGUUCGCGGAAAAGCUAGAAAAAGGGUCUUGAGAAUAGAAGUAGUCUAUGAAAAGAAGAUGAUAUUAGAGAUCCCACUUGGUAAAGGGAAGUUUUCAAGGCAAUUUCAUCAACAAAGCUAUCAAAUGAGUUGGAUAUAAUUGUUUGAAAUGUUGUUUCUCUUCAAAAAAAAGUGGAAAGAACUCACAAGAGUGGAGAAAGUAGCACAAUGAUUGGAUUACAUUGUAUUUAUCAAGACAAUCUCAUUUUUGUGAGAUUUUACUUCUUCAUUGACUACAUGAUUUUUAUUCCUAA